GAUGAGAACGUAGUGAAAUGCGAUAAGUAAUGUGAAUUGCAGAAUUCAGUGAAUCAUCGAAUCUUUGAACGCACCUUGCGCCCUUUGGCUAUUCCGAAGGGCAUGCCUGUUUGAGUAUCGUGAACACCUCAACUCUCAUGGUUUGCCAUGAUGAGCUUGGACUUGGGGGUUUUGCUGGCCUUCGGUCGGCUCCUCUCAAACGGAUCAGCUUUCCAGUGUUUGGUGGCGUCACGGGUGUGAUAACUAUCUACGCCUGUGGUUUUCUGCCAGAUAACCUUCAGCGAUGGAGGUUCGCUGGGGCUCAUAAAUGUCUCUCUUCAGUGGAGACAGCUUUUUGGACGUUUGAUCUCGAAUCAGGUAGGACUACCCGCUGAACUUAAGCAUAUCAAUAAGCGGAGGA
rnacentral:misc_RNA from 1 species